UGUUGAAGAUUUCAUCUAUCUGUACUGUUUAAAACUAGCUUAGUUGAUGGAAUAACCAGAAAAUGACAUAUGAUGUAUCGCGUGUACCUCAUGCUGAUGUAUAGAGAUUAAUUUUUAACAAUGGAAAUAGAAUAAAAUUUUUAAUA
rfam:Gossypium raimondii Chr08_contig_822, whole genome shotgun sequence.